rnacentral:miRNA from 2 species
CCACAACACUGCCUGGUCAGA